UUGCAUAUCAAUAAGCGGAGGAAAAGAAACCAACAGGGAUUGCCUCAGUAACGGCGAGUGAAGCGGCAAAAGCUCAAAUUUGAAAUCUGGCUCUUUCAGGGUCCGAGUUGUAAUUUGUAGAAGAUGCUUUGGGUGUGGCUCCGGUUUAAGUUCUUUGGAAUAUUACAUCACAGAGGGUGAGAAUCCCGUAUGUGACCGGUUGCCUCGCUCGUGUAAAGCUCUUUCAACGAGUCGAGUUGUUUGGGAAUGCAGCUCUAAAUGGGUGGUAUAUUUCAUCUAAAGCUAAAUACUGGCCAGAGACCGAUAGCGCACAAGUAGAGUGAUCGAAAGGUGAAAAGAACUUUGAAAAGAGAGUUAAACAGUACGUGAAAUUGUUGAAGGGGAAGCGCUUGCAACCAGACUUGGACUUAGUUGAUCAACCGGUGUUCUCACCGGUGCACUCUGCUAUGUACAGGCCAGCAUCGGUUUUGGUGGUUGGAUAAAGGCCGUGGGAAUGUGGCUCCUCUCGGGGAGUGUUAUAGCCCAUCGGUGCAAUGCAGCCUACCGGGACCGAGGACCGCGCUUCGGCUAGAUG
rnacentral:rRNA from 1 species